rnacentral:rRNA from 1 species
AGAGUUUGAUCCUGGCUCAGGGUGAACGCUGGCGGCGCGCUUAAUGCAUGCAAGUCGAGCGUGAUCGGGGCUUCCGCCACCAUGAUAAAGCGGCAAACGGGUGAGUAACACGUGAGUAAUCUGCCCUCCGGUGGGGGAUAACCUCGGGAAACUGGGGAUAAUCCCGCAUACAACCUGCGUCCCGUGGGGUGCAGAUGAAAGGCUUCCUCCUCCGGAGGAGGAGCUCGCGACCUAUCAGGUUGUUGGUGGGGUAAUGGCCUACCAACCCGAUGACGGGCUAUGGUCUGAGAGGAUGACCAGACAGAGGGGGACGAUUGGGACCCCACUCCUACCGGACUCCUACCAGGGAAUCUUGGGCAAUGUAUUGAAAGCCUGACCCAACGACUGAGCGUGCGGGACGAAGUGCUUCAGGUUGUAAACCCCUUUUCCGAGGGAAGAGAAAGGUCGCUACAUAGGGAAUAAGCCCUGGCUAAGUACGUGCCAGCACGCGCGGUAAUAGGUAGGGAGCGAGCGUUACAAGGAAUCAGUGUAAAUAAAGUGUGCGUAGCCGGUUGGAUAAGUCUCUUGUGAAAGCUCCCGGCUCAACUGGGAGCGGUCAAGGGAUAUUAUUUGGGGAGGGGACGAGAGAGGUAAACAGAAUUCCCGGUGUAGCGGUGGAAUGCGUAGAUAUAAGGAGGAACACCAGUGGCGAAAGCGGCUUACUGGGCUGUAUCUGACGCUGAGGCGCGAGAGCGUGGGGAGCAAACUGGAUUAGAUACCCAGGUAGUCCACUCCCUAAACGAUGGAUACUAGGUAUGGGGGGUAUUGACCCCCUCCGUGCCGUAGCUAACGCGUUAAGUAUCCCGCCUGGGGACUACGGCCGCAAGGCUGAAACUCAAAGGAAUUGACGGGGGCCCGCACAAGCGGUGGAGCAUGUGGUUUAAUUCGACGCAACGCGAAGAACCUUACCUGGGUUUGACAUGUUUUAGACGGACGAAAAAACCGUAUUCUCUUCGGAGCCGUUGCACAGGUGCUGCAUGGCUGUCGUCAGCUCGUG